ensembl:lincRNA
UAAAAUAAUCAGGGGGCUGGAGAGAUGGCUCAGCGGUUAAGAGCACUGACUGCUCUUGCAGAGGACCCGGGUUCGAUUCCAGCACCCACUUGGAGGCUCUGAACCAUCCUUAACUCCAGUUCCAGGGAAAUCUGACGCCCUCUUCUGACCUCCAUGGCAUUGCAUGACAUGGGCGCACUCACAUACAUGCAGGCAAUACACUCAUACACAUUAAAUAUAUAUAUACUUCAUAUACUGUUACUCUCACAAAGAAUUUGCCAGUGCUCUCCAAAUACCAUUUUCCAUAUAUAUGAUAAUCAGAUGCUUACCAUAAGAUCAAAUAGGCUUCUUACAAAAUGUAUUGCUAAAGUGUGUUCCUUUUUGAAAGAAAUCUGAGAUUGCAACCCUACCCUGCAGUAUUCUAAGUUGAAGUUAGUCAUUUCAAACUAGAGGAGAGUAGGCCGAUAGUUAUUAGCUAGCAGCAGCCCUAUGCAGUCAGACCUACCCCAGACCUUGCUCUGGUUUUUCUUAAAGGAUUCUUUGCAAACAAGAUACUAUCAGUUUUUCUAAUUUAGCCUUUAUAUUUCAAAUAUAGGGCACAGAGGAUUGGGUUAUUGUAGACAAAAUACCCACUGAGGUAGUUGAUGGUGAUUCGAAAAAGAUUGUGACUUACAAGGUGGUAACGGUGAGCAGUAGAACUGGUGACAUCCCAGCCGACAUGCUAAAGUCUAGCAUUACUGAAAUGCAUAGCUUCCAUGACUUGGCCCAAGAAAUGCAACUGAAGGAAGAGAACAAACAGAAGAUAUACACUCUAGGAAAAUCCUAUGACACCGUCUCUGGGAGAAUCGUUACUAUGACUGGAAAAGUUAAGGAGGGGGAGAAAGUAGCACAGCCUUCCAUGCUGGAAGCUCUGCAGAAGAUGGAGAGAAGCCGGGCAGAAGCAGGGAAGGUUGGUCCCCUCUUGGCAGAAUAUGAGGUUCUGGAAGCCCUGGCUGAUGAGAAAUCCAGGAGAGGACCCGAGAUCCAGGCCCCGAAGCGGAGGUUGUCAGAAUCCCUGGCUCCCAUCAAGGAAGCUGAGUCUCGUCGGCAGAGCCCCGAAGAAGAUGACCUCCAGAAGGCGCCAAAGCUGGGGCAGGAUGUGUCUGCCCACCCUGGCCCAGAGAGCAUGCGAUUCAGCAAAAGCGAACAAAUGCCAGAGAGUGAGGUCUUAAAGGUGGGGCUGUUUGGUCCCCGGAGGAAGAGUCUGUCUGAAUGGCGGUACACCCAGGAACCGGCCUUUACUGUAGCAACUGCUCAUUACAUCACUGAGUCCUCAACAUCUCAAGUGGUGACUAAGCAAUCUUCUGGGGAAAAGCUCAUGGAUGGCUCCGAGAUCCUCAGUUUAUUAGAGUCUGCACGAAAGCCAACAGAAUUCAUAGGAGGGGUUUCGUCCACUUCCCAAAGCUGGGUGCAGAAAGUGGAAACGAAGACAGAGUCCAGUGAAACAGAGACAGAAACGACCCCUCACCACCAGCCCCUCAGCACUGAGAAGGUGGUGCAGGAAACUUUGUUGGUGGAAGAGAGGCGCGUGAUGAACGUGCAUGCCAGUGGAGAUGCUUCUCACACAGCAGGGGAUGACAUGGAUGCUGCAGCACAGUCCACAGCACCAGCAGGCGCUUCCAGUAUGAAAGGGAAGGAGGACUCUUCUCUGACGGAAGCAGUUAAGGAGGAAAGAGGGGAGGAGGCUGCGAAGUCUGUCCCUGAGCAGGAAGGGACAGCCACGGCCUCCCACAAGGAGGAGCAGGCGGCAGGUAUACCAGCUUCUGAGGCUUUGGAACAAAAGUCUCAUUUUGAGGUAACUAGUAAUUAAUAUUAACAUGGUAUGAAGCCCUGAAAUUUAGAUCAGUGUAAAGAUGGAGCUAUAUAUAAUUAUACCUUUUCCAUGAAUGCAGUUUGGUUUUCCUCUUAUUUUUUAAGGGUCACCAUGUUUGUUUCCACAUUUGGAAUCAUAUACAAACAUAUACUGAUCAUUAAUAAUGUAAAGUUCCAAGAGUUGGUUUCUGUCAUUGAGAUUUUGACUGACAGAAAACAUGAGAAACCCAUGAUUAGCCAAGAUAUUAGAAAACAUGAGGGCAGCUGGGCAUGGUGGCGCACACCUUUAAUCCCAGCACUCGGGAAGCAGAGGCAGGUGGAUCUCUGUGUUCAAGGCCAGCCUGGUCUACAUAGUGAGUUCCAGAUCAGCUGGGACUACAGGGAGACCCUGUCUCAAAAAGAGAGAGAAAAAAAAAAAGAAAAUAUGAGGGCAGGUGAGAUGACUCAGUGGGUAAAUGUGCUUGCUGCAUAAGCCUGAUGGCCUGAGUUCAAGCCCUGAAACUCACAGUGGAAGGAGAGAACCAACUCCUGAAAGCUGUCCUCUGGCCUCCACACUCACACAUUCUCUCUCUCUCUCUCUCUUUAUCUUCUCUCUCUCCCUUUCUCUUCUCUCUC